UCCUUGGUGGUCCAGUGGUUAAGACUCUGCAUUUCCAGUGCAAGGGACACAGGUUUGAUCCCUGGUGAGGGAA
rfam:Ovis aries breed Texel chromosome 1, whole genome shotgun sequence.